CAGUAGCCGCGGUAAUACGUAGGUGGCAAGCGUUGUCCGGAAUUAUUGGGCGUAAAGGGCUCGCAGGCGGUUUCUUAAGUCUGAUGUGAAAGCCCCCGGCUCAACCGGGGAGGGUCAUUGGAAACUGGGAAACUUGAGUGCAGAAGAGGAGAGUGGAAUUCCACGUGUAGUGGUGAAAUGCGUAGAGAUGUGGAGGAACACCAGUGGCGAAGGCGACUCUCUGGUCUGUAACUGACGCUGAGGAGCGAAAGCGUGGGGAGCGAACAGGAUUAGAUACCCCCGUAGUCCCUGUCUCUUAUAC
rnacentral:rRNA from 1 species